UACGUAGGGUGCAAGCGUUAAUCGGAAUUACUGGGCGUAAAGCGUGCGCAGGCGGUUAUGUAAGACAGAUGUGAAAUGCCCGGGCUUAACCUGGGAACUGCAUUUGUGACUGCAUGGCUAGAGUUUGGCAGAGGGGGGUAGAAUUCCACGUGUAGCAGUGAAAUGCGUAGAUAUGUGGAGGAACACCGAUGGCGAAGGCAGCCCCCUGGGUCAAAACUGACGCUCAUGCACGAAAGCGUGGGGAGCAAACAGGAUUAGAGUACCCCU
rnacentral:rRNA from 1 species